GACGAACGCUGGCGGCGUGCUUAACACAUGCAAGUCGAACGCUGAAGCUCAGCUUUUGUUGGGUGGAUGAGUGGCGAACGGGUGAGUAACACGUGAGUAACCUGCCUCCUUCUUUGGGAUAACGCCCGGAAACGGGUGCUAAUACUGGAUAUUCACUGGUCUUCGCAUGGGGGUUGGUGGAAAGGGUUUUUCUGGUGGGGGAUGGGCUCGCGGCCUAUCAGCCUGUUGGUGGGGUGAUGGCCUACCAAGGCUUUGACGGGUAGCCGGCCUGAGAGGGUGACCGGUCACAUUGGGACUGAGAUACGGCCCAGACUCCUACGGGAGGCAGCAGUGGGGAAUAUUGCACAAUGGGCGCAAGCCUGAUGCAGCGACGCCGCGUGAGGGAUGGAGGCCUUCGGGUUGUGAACCUCUUUCGCUCAUGGUCAAGCCGCAACAAUGGUUGUGGUGAGGGUAGUGGGUAAAGAAGCGCCGGCUAACUACGUG
rnacentral:rRNA from 1 species